rnacentral:rRNA from 1 species
CGGGCGUUACAAAUGCACUGGAUCCCAUCAGAACUCCGAAGUUAAGCUUGCUUGGGCGAGAGCAGUACUAGGAUGGGUGACCCCCUGGGAAGUCCUCGUGUUGCACCU